ACAAACUUGGUCAUUUAGAGGAAGUAAAAGUCGUAACAAGGUUUCCGUAGGUGAACCUGCGGAAGGAUCAUUAUCACGUAUCCACGUAUAAACCAACUGUGAACUGUUGUCUUACUUGACACCGGGGGGAUGGGUACUUUGAUGUAUCUUUUUUUCCGGCUCUUUUAAGACUUAUUUUUAUUUAUUUCAUUAACCAAUUGAACCUAACUUUUACUAUUUACGUCUGAACUGUUUUCUUUAUUCCCUUCAACAAGGAAAAAGAAAAAGAUAUACGUAACAUAAGAACAACUCUUAGCAACGGAUAUCUUGGUUCUCGUAACGAUGAAGAACGCAGC
rnacentral:misc_RNA from 1 species